rnacentral:rRNA from 1 species
GACGAACGCUGGCGGCGUGCCUAAUACAUGCAAGUUGAGCGAUGAAGAUUGGUGCUUGCACCAAUUUGAAGAGCAGCGAACGGGUGAGUAACGCGUGGGGAAUCUGCCUUUGAGCGGGGGACAACAUUUGGAAACGAAUGCUAAUACCGCAUAACAACUUUAAACAUAAGUUUUAAGUUUGAAAGAUGCAAUUGCAUCACUCAAAGAUGAUCCCGCGUUGUAUUAGCUAGUUGGUGAGGUAAAGGCUCACCAAGGCGAUGAUACAUAGCCGACCUGAGAGGGGGAUCGGCCACAUUGGGACUGAGACACGGCCCAAACUCCUACGGGAGGCAGCAGUAGGGAAUCUUCGGCAAUGGACGAAAGUCUGACCGAGCAACGCCGCGGGAGUGAAGAAGGUUUUCGGAUCGUAAAACUCUGUUGGUAGAGAAGAACGUUGGUGAGAGUGGAAAGCUCAUCAAGUGACGGUAACUACCCAGAAAGGGACGGCUAACUACGUG